ACUGGCACCAAAUUUGAAGACCAAAUGCAAGACACAUUUCUUGUAAAUGUGAAUGUUACUGAGGAGGGAACAGAUGUAAUGGUGUCAAAAUCUGCAAUGGUGUCCUUUACAAACAAAGCUGUAUAUCUCUUGGAGGGGAGCAACUGGCCCAACAAACUGCUGUUGAAUCUAACCACAAACAAGAAUUGAUGGGCUGCGUUCUCCCUAAACACUGCUAAUCUUAAGGCUGAUCUGAAUCUGGUGGCGAGUGCUAAUCCAGAGGUUUUUUAUGGUUAUAAAUCGCCAUACUUCACUACAGAUACAAGUGACCGUGGAGUAUUCAUUUGUUGGAGAGGCUGGUAGCUACAGCGAUGACAAUCUAUAUGGUCUUAUCCAAAGGAGUGAUCAUCCUCCAUGGAUUUCAGACGG